rnacentral:rRNA from 1 species
UACGUAGGGUGCGAGCAUUGUCCGGAAUUAUUGGGCGUAAAGAGCUCGUAGGCGGCCUGUCGCGUCUGCUGUGAAAUCCCGGGGCUUAACCCCGGGCGUGCAGUGGAUACGGGCUGGCUGGAGGCAGGCAGGGGAGAACGGAAUUCCCGGUGUAGCGGUGAAAUGCGCAGAUAUCGGGAGGAACACCGGUGGCGAAGGCGGUUCUCUGGGCCUGUACUGACGCUGAGGAGCGAAAGCGUGGGGAGCGAACAGG